AUUGAACGCUGGCGGCAGGCCUAACACAUGCAAGUCGAGCGGAUGAAGGGAGCUUGCUCCUGGAUUCAGCGGCGGACGGGUGAGUAAUGCCUAGGAAUCUGCCUGGCAGUGGGGGAUAACGUCCGGAAACGGGCGCUAAUACCGCACACGUCCUGAGGGAGAAAGGGGGGGUUCUUCGGAACUCACGCUAUUUGAUGAGCCUAGGUCGGAUUAGCUAGUUGGUGGGGUAAAGGCCUACCAAGGCGACGAUCCGUAACUGGUCUGAGAGGAUGAUCGGUCACACUGGAACUGAGACACGGUCCAGACUCCUACGGGAGGCAGCAGUAGGGAAUAUUGGACAAUGGGCGAAAGCCUGAUCCAGCCAUGCCGCGUGUGUGAAGAAGGUCUUCGGAUUGUAAAGCACUUUAAGUUGGGAGGAAGGGCAGUGAGUUAAUACCUUGCUGUUUUGACGUUACCAACAGAAUAAGCACCGGCUAACUUCGUG
rnacentral:rRNA from 1 species